GGUCUGGUAGCUCAGGCAGUAGAGCAGAAGACUGAAAAUCUUCGUGUCGGGAGUGCAAAUCUCUCCUAGACCACCA
rnacentral:tRNA from 1 species